CUAUCAGAGGUUCAAUUCCUCUCCCUAACA
rnacentral:tRNA from 1 species